rnacentral:tRNA from 1 species
AGGGCUUAGUUUAAUUAAAGCGGUUGAGUUGCAUUCAAUUGAUGCAAGAUGGAGUCUUGUAGUCCUUA